AUAAUUUGUAAUAUUUGUAAAAGGCCUUGUAGAGAGAUUGGAAAUACAGCUCUCAGAGAUAGCAGGAGAAGGGGAGGCUGUAAAUUAAGCUGUAUGAAGUAUGUAAGUUAAGUGAAUGAAGCUGUAUCCUGGAACCAAACACUAAUUAACUAAAUUGACAGA